rnacentral:rRNA from 1 species
CCUACGGGGGGCAGCAGUGGGGAAUAUUGGGCAAUGGGCGCAAGCCUGACCCAGCAACGCCGCGUGAAGGAAGAAGGCUUUCGGGUUGUAAACUUCUUUUCUCAGGGACGAAGCAAGUGACGGUACCUGACGAAUAAGCCACGGCUAACUACGUGCCAGCAGCCGCGGUAAUACGUAGGUGGCAAGCGUUAUCCGGAUGUAUUGGGUGUAAAGGGCGUUUAGGCGGGAGCGCAAGUCAGAUGUGAAAACGCAGGGCUUAACCCUGAGCCUGCAUUUGAAACUGUGUUUCUUGAGUGCUGGAGAGGCAAUCGGAAUUCCGUGUGUAGCGGUGAAAUGCGUAGAUAUACGGAGGAACACCAGUGGCGAAGGCGGAUUGCUGGACAGUAACUGACGCUGAGGCGCGAAAGCGUGGGGAGCAAACAGGAUUAGAUACCCCUGUAGUC